UUCUUCCUUUCAGUGAUUGUUUUGUGAAUAUAAUUUAAAACAUACUGUGUUCUGACUGAACUCGGAGUAUUUGAUCUAAAAGCAGUUUUAAAAAAGGAUUAAGUCACGUUGACCCAUCAGGUAAAUGUUCCCACCUGAGAGAAAAAUUCAAAUCUAAACUGUGACUCUGUUUGAUUUAUUACCAUUAAUAGGAGAGAUGAUGAACAGGGACAGGUAAUAAAUAAACUAUCACACAUAAACAAAGUCCCAGCGAGCUGUAGUGAACAUCUGUGUUGUCAUUCUAUCAGCUGAUUGUGCUGAAUAAACACAAAUGAUACAAACAGUCACAGGAUGUAAUGAGGAAUCGUUAGACCGGCCCGGGAUUCACUGCCUGCGCUCUGUGCAGCUCGUGACCGUUUCUUCACUGAACAGCUGGUGAUCUGUGCUUUGUGCAGUGACAUGCGCACGUUACCACGUUUAAAAAGAUAAACUAAUUAACGUUUAAACUGUUGGUGAUUUUUCUUAAUGUUUAACGUUAAAACGUUUAGAAGUCACACCUCUACUGUGAUCGCUGCACGACCAUAGACUGUCUGCACGCCACCUCUACCAUCUCCGUGCUCUAAUCAACCUGCUGCUGCAUGUUUCCUGUUCUCCAGGAUGUUCUUCUCCACUCUUUAGUUCAACUACACAUAGUAGCAUUGAUACAAAGACACAUAUUCUCUUUAUAGAGUCGUAUUCUCUGCUGCUCCUUCCAACACUUCCUCGUUGUUUUUUUAACUUGUUUUGAUCUCGGAAACCGUAAAUUCCGCGUUGCUGGUCUGAUACGUCAUCAGGAACGCCCCCCGAAGUCGGAAUUACGACCUGGAACCUCUGAGGACCUUCAGUAGCCCGAGUCCAGAUCCAAUAUGGCUGCUACGUGCAUUAACAGGGAUCUUUAAUCUGUAACUGCUUACAGGGCUCGACAUUCUAACUGGCCCGGAUGAAUGAUUGAUAGAGUAUUUUAACUGGCUCGGGCCACUGCCUGAAAGAAAAUAGACAGUAACACGUUCUCAAUUUCACAGCGCUAUCCUGUUAUACCGGCGUUUUGUCAGUAAUCAUUUUAAAAACGUCAUCAACGUAUUGAAUCAACGUACAGUUGAAAGGCAGCCGACGGCUUCACUGCUGUCACUCCCGCGAGCGCGCUCACUACUCUCGAAUUGUACACUCACACACAGAUCUUAACAGGUUUUCACUGAUUAAAAAACACGUUUGGUAAAACGUUUUUAAAACCAUCAGAUCCCGACAAAAGCCGAGUUAAAAUCAGCAUUCAAAGAGAAAAAAUCAUCGGAAGAGUCAGAGUGACAAGUAGCAGCCCUCGACCAAGACAACAUAUGAGGAAGCGUGGAGAUCGACUGAUGCGAUUUAUUUAUUUCAUUUCAAGCACCGUGAAACUAGAAAAAAGCCAAAAUAAAGCCAAAAUGAACAGAAAACUGUGUUCAAUUCAUGACAGAUAUAUAAAUAUUUAUGAUUCAUUCCUAAACAAACAUUUCACAGGGCAACAUUUUACUUUAAACAAACACAAACAAUAACAUCCACAUCACAACAGGCCUGAUUCAAACACACAUCACAUUAAACACUUACAACAAUAUUGCACAAUCCCUUUAUAGUAGCGAACCUCUCAAUUCAUUCAUAAAUCAUUCAAUUAACAUCUUCCCUUUGGACACAGCGAUCUCCAUAAACCUUCGAACCUUCAUGCUUAAUGGUAAACCAUAAAACCCUGUUUUAGUAUCGCAUUUGGAGCAAACAAACAAUUGACCAUAAUUCAUGUUCCGGGGUGGAGCAACAACAAACAACCCAAAUAGGCUCCUUUGGCCACUUACAUGAUGUGUGUAAAGAUCCAGAUGUUGACGAGCAGGAGGUGAAGAUGGUCCUUUGGGUGCUCAGAGUGCUCACAUGUAAACAGUGUGAAGUGGAUUCAAAGUUUGUCGGUGCUGAUGAGCAGCUCGUCUCAGAAACAGGACGAAGCUCCAACAUCAGCCUCCUCACUGCUGAGAGCCAAAAACCAAAAGGAGGCUGAGAGCCGAGCAGGAGGAGACUGAGCAUCAGAGCAGAGCUGACGUCACACUGCUCACACACACACACACACACACACACACACACACACCUGCUGCUGUUCUCUGUGUGUCCAAUGUGACGUCCAGUCUGAUCUGAGUGUGAUAUGAAACUACACUCUGAGUGAUACACAAAGUUUUUGUUUCUUUUUCAGGUUCUUCAACUGGAUAUCGUGAUAUCUUUAGUCUGGGAAUUACUUUGGUUGGUUUAGUUUUUGUGGCUGUUGUGCUGGGUUUUGCAUAAAGCGUCACUGUAUAAAUCAUAAAAAGGUUCAAAUGCAGAUUGAGUCUUCCAGUGGACUCUUGUAGCCAUCUAAAACAACUCUGUGAAGUAUGUGUGACCUUAAGUAUUACUGGAUUACAUGGAGGGCAGAGGGGUGGCUGAAUCAAGUUCAACAUAAAGUAAGAGAGUAUUUAGAGCUGUAUGGGGCUUUAUGAAAGUGUUCAUCAACUUUGUUAACUCAGGCUUUCUGCUUCAUACUCUGAGCAUCGACGCUUCUUCUUCUGCACAAAAUGGAUUGAUCACAGGCUGUCUGCUUCUGUCAGUUUAUAUAUAACAUAUAACUUUAGUUUGAAGUUUAAAUGUUUUUUUAUUUUAUUAUUGUGUCACAUACAUUUAUAUGCCCAGCCCGCAUGGGCUUACGUGACACCAUAAAUUAAAAUGUUCCAGGAUCAGAGUGCACUCGGUAAACUAUAUUCAUUGUCAAGAAACAAAAAGAGAAAGUCAAACUAAUUAAACAGAAUAUCCUGUCUUCUUUUCCAGGCCUUUGAAACUGUUGAAAGAUCAGAAAGAGUUAUGCAAUUGUUGAAUUUGUUUUUAUCAUAUAUGUUCUUUUUCUUUUAUUAUCACUUAAUCUUUUUAUCAUUUCAUUCAUGUCAUAUAUACGACUUUUGGGUUUUUUGGCUUUUAUAUUUCCUGUCAAUCCUACACACACCCGUGGUGCCUAUGCACCUGUGAGGUCAGGAUAAGUGUGCCAUACAUUGAGCAAAACCACAUACGAGCUCGUAGGCGUAUAGCGUUUCUGCGAAUCUGCCUGGUUCACGGUCUUCAAGCUAAAACCACAUCUGAACUUAGUGUCACCUGUGUUACCUUGUAUGAUUUGACAUUAAAACCACAUAUGAACUUAGUAUCACCUGUGUUACCUUGUAUGAUUUGACAUUAAAACCACACAUGAACUUAGUAUCACCUGUGUUACCUUGUAUGAUUUGACAUUAAAACCACAUAUGAACUUAGUAUCACCUGUGUUACCUUGUGUGAUUUGACAUUAAAACCACAUAUGAACUUAGUAUCACCUGUGUUACCUUGUAUGAUUUGACAUUAAAACCACAUAUGAACUUAGUAUCACCUGUGUUACCUUGUGUGAUUUGACAUUAAAACCACAUAUGAACUUAGUAUCACCUGUGUUACCUUGUAUGAUUUGACAUUAAAACCACAUAUGAACUUAGUAUCACCUGUGUUACCUUGUAUGAUUUGACAUUAAAACCACAUAUGAACUUAGUAUCACCUGUGUUACCUUGUAUGAUUUGACAUUAAAACCACAUAUGAACUUAGUAUCACCUGUGUUACCUUGUAUGAUUUGACAUUAAAACCACAUAUGAACUUAGUAUCACCUGUGUUACCUUGUGUGAUUUGACAUUAAAACCACAUAUGAACUUAGUAUCACCUGUGUUACCUUGUAUGAUUUGACAUUAAAACCACAUAUGAACUUAGUAUCACCUGUGUUACCUUGUAUGAUUUGACAUUAAAACCACAUAUGAACUUAG